UUUAGUUUGGGCAAUCAACAAUAUGAACAUUUUAAUAAGGUUGCUGUGGUGGUCGAUGAACUGCUUCAUGAGCAAGGCGCCAAGCACAUUG